rnacentral:lncRNA from 1 species
CGGGGACGGUGUAGCUUUCAAGAAGAAUCAUGCACAACAAAGGAAAAGGAAUCCCUAAUCAAAGCCACUUCCUCCCUCCUCUUCUUCCUUCACUCCGGCGGCGGCAACGGUGAGCGGUUAACCGUAUCCGAGUACUCGAACUUCCCGGUGUGGGACUAAAAGUGGUGGAAGACAUGGUUGCGACGUGUUUGGGGUUUCGCUAAACAGUAACCACCGUAGUUCCUUUUUAUACUCACUGUGAGUGUAAAUCACAAAAUCGAUUUUGAAUUCAUUUUUCAAUCCACACAGAGAUUAUGGAGAGUGAUAGUGGAAAAUAGGAAUAGAAAUAUUGAGAAUCAGAUAUGGAAUGUUGUAUUCACAUCUUUGUAGGUAGCCUCCUUCUCAAUAG